UUUGUUCUUCUAAAUAAAGACCAGUAUGUAACGGUAAAUGAGGACAACCUGUCUCCUACAACAAAUCAGUGAAACUGAUCUCCCAGUACAAAAGCUGGAAUUAACACAUAAGACGAGAAGACCCUGUGGAGCUUAAAAACAAGCGGCCAAAACCAACUACACACAAACCAACAAAUGGUCGCACGUUUUAAGUUGGGGCGACUUCGGAAAAAAACAAAACUUCCGAGAACAGAACCACAAAUUCUUUCAAAGGACAACAACCCAAAGAACUAACAAUAACAGACCCAGUAAAACUGAGCAACGAACCAAGUUACCCCAGGGAUAACAGCGCCAUCUUCUUCAAGAGUCCAUAUCGACAAGAAGGUUUACGACCUCGAUGUUGGAUCAGGACACCCAAAUGGUGCAGCAGCUAUUAAAGGUUCGUUUGUUCAACGAUUAACAGUCCUACGUGAUC
rnacentral:rRNA from 1 species